CUUACCACACGCCAAGGAAGCAGGCACAGACUCCAACCCAGACCUAUGGAUUAAAACGCAGAGAGAAGGGGAAAGAAUGGGGGGGGGGGCGCUUCGGGGAGCAGCACCUCGGCGAGGCCCCAGAGAGCUAACAGCCGCUGCCUUGGAGGGCGAGGUUAGCUGAAGAUUCCUAGAAGAAGAAUCUACUCUGGGACAUUUCUAUUUUUAAUUUUUACUCGAUUCCUAAAACACCAAAGU
ensembl:misc_RNA Gm27741 predicted gene, 27741